GAUGAACGCUGGCGGCGUGCCUAAUACAUGCAAGUCGAGCGAACAGACGAGGAGCUUGCUCCUCUGACGUUAGCGGCGGACGGGUGAGUAACACGUGGAUAACCUACCUAUAAGACUGGGAUAACUUCGGGAAACCGGAGCUAAUACCGGAUAAUAUAUUGAACCGCAUGGUUCAAUAGUGAAAUACGGUUUUGCUGUCACUUAUAGAUGGAUCCGCGCCGCAUUAGCUAGUUGGUAAGGUAACGGCUUACCAAGGCGACGAUGCGUAGCCGACCUGAGAGGGUGAUCGGCCACACUGGAACUGAGACACGGUCCAGACUCCUACGGGAGGCAGCAGUAGGGAAUCUUCCGCAAUGGGCGAAAGCCUGACGGAGCAACGCCGCGUGAGUGAUGAAGGUCUUCGGAUCGUAAAACUCUGUUAUUCGGGAAGAACAAAUGUGUAAGUAACUAUGCACGUCUUGACGGUACCUAAUCAGACAGCCACGGCUAACUCCGUG
rnacentral:rRNA from 1 species